rnacentral:lncRNA from 1 species
CUCUCCUCUCUCUUGCUAAGCUUUGUUUCCUGGCAGUAAUUAAGACCUUCUGCCACUGCCACAGCUACUGCUGCUGAUGGAACCACCACAGCCACCUUGGUUUCAUGGUCUGUCAAAGCAUUGGCCUCUACCACCAUAGGGGCCAGAGUUUCUGCCUCCAAAAUUUCCUCCUUUCAUGGGUCCAAAAUGUGAAGAUGGACUGUUGUAAUUGCCAAUAUCAUUAUAGCUUCUGCUACCUCCAAAGUUGCUUAUUACCAAAUCCAUUAUAGCCAUCCUCACUGCCACCGUAUCUACCAACACUUCAACUGCCGCCAAAGCCACCUUACCCACUGAAGUUUCCUUCACGACCCAAGUUGCCUUCCUGUGAAAACCACCUCCAUGACCACCACUGAAGUUUCCAGAACUACUUCAACCUCUUUGGCUGAAUUAAACCCUAGCCAUCUCUUGCUAGAGCUAUUCUUACUUUGCAGUUGUGGUCAUUCACAGUAUGGUAUUUUUGAACGACAAUCUUAUCUACAGAGUCAUGCUCAUCAAAUGUUACGAAACCAAAGCCUCUCUUUUUGUCACUGCCUCUGUCAGUCAUGAUUUCAAUCACUUUAAUUUUCCCAUACUGUUCAAAAUAAUCUCUUAGAUGAUGUUCUUCAGUGUCUUCUUUAAUGCCACCAACAAAAAUGUUUUUCACAGUUACUUGAGUACCGGGUCUUUGAGAAUCUUCUCUUGAGACAGCCCUCUUUGGCUCUACAACUCUUCCAUCCACCUUGUGUGGCCUUGCAUUCAUGGCUGCAUUCACCUCUCCCACAGUGGCAUAUGUGACAAAUCCAAAGAACUCUGGAGCACUUGGUGUUUGGAUUUCUCAUUACCACACAGUCAGCAAGCAUUCCCCAUUGCUCGGAAUGGCUCCUUAGACUCUUAUGGGUUGUUUCAAAGCUCAAACCUUCAGUGAAGAGCUUCCACAGCUGCUUAUGCUCUUUGGUAAAGUUUGAUUUAGACAUGAUGGUGGUGGGAAGGCAGACUUAACCAUGCUUACUCACCGGUAUCCAUGUGCAUAAAG